rnacentral:rRNA from 1 species
GGCCGGGAGAGGUGAGAGGUACUUCAGGGGUAGGGGUGAAAUCUUGUAAUCCUUGAAGGACCACCAGUGGCGAAGGCGUCUCACCAGAACGGACCUGACGGCAAGGGACGAAGGCUAGGGGCACGAACCGGAUUAGAUACCCGGGUAGUCCUAGCCGUAAACGAUGCUCGCUAGGUGUCAGUCACGGUGCGACCGUGAUUGGUGCCGUAGGGAAGCCGUGAAGCGAGCCACCUGGGAAGUAUGGCCGCAAGGCUGAAACUUAAAGGAAUUGGCGGGGGAGCACUACAACGGGUGGAGCCUGCGGUUUAAUUGGAUUCAACGCCGGAAAUCUCACCGGGGGCGACAGCGAUAUGAAGGUCAGGCUGAAGACUUUACCGGAUUAGCUGAGAGGUGGUGCAUGGCCGUCGUCAGUUCGUACUGUGAAGCAUCCUGUUAAGUCAGGUAACGAGCGAGACC